UUCAAGAUGAGAUUUGGGUGCAGACACAGCCAAAUCAUAUCAUAUCCUCUGUUUUCCAAAGAUCUUAUAUAAUUUAGUUCUACUUUAGAAAAAUUAAUCCAAUGAUAGUUGGCAGUAUAUACAGUUGUGUAAAAGAUGGGUAAUUUUUUGCAUACUCGUAAGAGUUCAGAAAAUUAAGAUAUAAGCUAUUGGUUAAGAGAGGGAAUAGCCUCUCUCAUUAUGACAAAAAUUAAUAGUUGAUUAUUUUUUUCAUAUAUGAUAAAAAUCUUAGUCCAUAUGUGUUUCAAUUUAAAAGACAUGAGAAGAUAAUAUGAUUUUUCCUCCAAAGUUGACUGGUUGGCUAUUAGACUGCAAAUCUCAUAAUAUAAUUACCUUGGUGGAAACAUAGUAAUUUAAAUAUUGGACAUUAGAUUUGCAGGUGCAGGAAAUCAAUUGUGUCAAUAUACAAAAAUUUUAUUAUACUAUUACAAUGAUUCACACUAAAAAUAUUUGGCGGGGAUUGAUAUAUAAAUAUACAUGGCAAUGUAUUAAUUUAUAAUGGUGGUGAUUUCUCUAACUACCUUCACCCCAGCUAUAUAUCAUAUAGUCAUAGUUGGAAACCACCGAGGAGGGUCACUCCAGCUGAGAGAGUCAAACUGUCAAGUCCCUACACUCUGACAUCACCCUGCUCAAAAGGGUUCUCCAUCUGCCGUUGCUCUCUUUUCUAUCGGUCAAUGCCUCAUGUAUAAGGAAACAUGAUCUUCUAUCAUUUACUGUACUGUUCUUCUCAAUGUUCUGCACUUGCUUUUUUUGGACUCAGCUGUCUACCAUAUCCUCAUCUUCAAAACUUUCCCACAGUAUUUUCUAGAACUAUCCAUCUAGAAUAAUAAUAAUAAUAAUAAAACCUAUCUUCAACUUCUACAUUGCCUGCCAUAAGUGAAACUUGACUCAUCUGAAGAUAUCACCUGUACUGUUUCCCUCUUAAUGCUGGUUGCUUAUUUUCGGACACACACACACACCCCUGGAUGGUGAGGUGGUAUUUCUGAACUCCCUAAACUGCAGUGGCACUUCUAGCAAUGAGACACCAUUCUCUUGUAAAACUAACAAAAAACACAUGCACAUACUGUAUUGGUUUGUUUUCAAAUUGCUAUAAAGAAAUACCUGAGACUGGGUAAUUUAUUAAAAAAAAAAAAAGAGGUUUCAUUGGCUCACGGUUCUGUAGCCUGUAUAGGAAGCACAGCAGCUUUUGCUUCUAGGGAGGCCUCAGGAAACUUACAAUCAUGGUGGAAAGCAAAGCGGAAGCAGGCACAUCUUAUAUGGCUGGAGUAGGAGCAAGGUGGUACAGAUGGAGCCACAUACAUGUAAACAGCCAGAUCUCUUGAGAACUCAUUCACCAUACAGUACCAAGAAGGGAUGGUGCUAAACCAUUCAUGAGAACUCUGCCUCCAUGAUCCAGUCCCCACGUCCAAAAAUUUGACUUAAGAUUUGGUGGGACACUAAUCCAACUCACCUACACACACACACACACACUCUCACACUAAACACAUUUGAGAUUCAUUUGAGAUUCAUGAAAUUUCACUAUACAAUUCCAACUGCUUUCUUACUGCUAUCAUCUAACUUCUGGUAAUUGGUUCACUAACAUAUCUUCAUCCAAAUUCUGUCACUGCCAUCCUUCAUGACGUAUGAACCCUCUAUGCUUAACAUACUUGUCUCCGAAGAAUCUGUCCUCUGCCCUGUCGUACAUCCGUAUCUCUCACACUAUGAAUUUUGUUAUAAAUGCAGAUUAUCUCUACUACAGAAUUGCUAAUUCAGUUAUUACACUCUCUGAGUACAACUUGCUUUCCUAGCUAUGGUCAUUUCUGUACUUCAGUGAGAGUCCCAGUUCAUGGCAUUUCCAAAUUCGUAGAGUUCUUUAGGCGUCUCAUUUUUGUUAUCAACAUUACUUUCUAAUCAUAAAUCUUGUUCAGAAUUUCUUGUUAACAACUUCUUUUCAUCAUUAUAUCAAAAGUGUCAAUUCUUCUCCGCGUAUUUUCAAACUUGAACUCAGCCUCCCAGUUCCCAGCCAAAGAACAAUCUUAUCUCUUCACAUAGAAAAUAUGAUAUCACCCUCAAUUUCUGCUUCCACCUAUACAAACCUAUCUACACUUACCUCUAUUUUGUCCUGCUUCCUUCUGCUUAAGCAUAGGUACUUGGGGACUGUUUCCUCUCACAUUCAAAGAAAUCUUUUCUUAUGUGAGUUCUCCAUUAUCUCCUAUCUAUUCGUCAACAUUCUCACAUUAAGAUCCUAAUUGUUCCAAGGAAAAUGUUUCUGCUUUUUUAGCUUUAUGGAUUUUCUACGUUGAUUCAUUUUCAUGUAAAUAGAAAGUGUGGGCUAAACUUUUAUCUACCUUAUUGAAUAUUAAGUAAACUAAAAUGCUUAAAAAGCGAUUUUUCAUACCGAAGAACUAAACUUUUCUCUGUACUUGGACACUUUGAUAAAUCAUAAUUGGUAGUUUACAGAUGGGAAGCUUACUUGCAAAUGUUCUAAAGAUGAAUGCUUCCUUUUGUAUGACAUUUUGAUAUAAAUUAAGAUCCAUGUGUUUCAUAUAUUGCUGAAAAAAAAAUAGUGUUAAAACAAUACUUCCUCUGCUGAAUAUAUGUGAAACUAUAUCUUUGAUUAGUGAUUCUGUCUCCUCUUCCACAGCAAAAAAUAACCCUCAAAUUUCUGUAAUUCUUUCCUGCUUCCUUUGCUUCUGCUAUGAAUGUUUUCUUAUGACACUGGAAAAAGUUUUAGUAGCUAACUAUAUAUAUUCACAUACAUACAUAUGUGUGUAUAUGUAUAUCUAUAUAUAUGUGCAUAUCAUGUGUACAUAUUUAUACAUACACAUUUAUAUCACAAUGACAGUAGAUAUAGCAUUAUAUGGCUCCUCUCCCACCUGUUAUUUUAGGAGCAGCUGUAAUUCUUAAAUAAGCGUUUAUUCUAUUGAUGUCCCCAGAGGUUGUCCCCAUUUGCGCCCAGGAACUCAUUCCUUACCCGUAAUGUAGCAUCUGCUGCUAUUUUUGUUUCUUAUUUUUCCUGUGAGGAGAUGCUGCAGGAACUACAGACCCAGGAAAUCAACUGUUAUGACUGACUCUCAAUUAAAAUCAGUGCCUGCCUCUGAGCUAUUGAUGAUUCUAAAAAGUACAGCAUCCACUACCAUUACUUCCUUAUGUAUAAGGGCUGUCACUCUUUAAGCAAAAUAAACAGAUUUUUGAGCAUCAUCUCUUUUUUGGAUCAUCAUUUUGCAAGUGGAGAUUCUAACAUCUCUACUCCUCUGCAAGAUGACCUCCUCCUGCAUGCACACAGCAGCCACUGGCUCAUAGCAGCCCGAGAGCCCCCAAAUCCCUCUGAAAAUUGCUGUGAAACAGAGGUUUGCCUCUCUUUCCUGAGAACCAGAAUGAGUCAGAAGCCCAGUACACAUGGGAACAGUUGAGCCUUUGGAUCUUCUGUGCAGUUUCUCCUUUCUGAUAAGUUAUUCUUUUCUUGCAAAUGAUUCUCUCCCAGAUAACAAUCUGAGCAGGGAGGAAAAGAAGAAAGGGACAAUUUGUCUAUUGAGUCAAACUUCAGGCAGCAUUUGAUGUACCCUAGCCUUGGAAAAGGGCUAAAACUGCAUUUAGUUUGUGGCAAAUGUGAAUUAUCAUCUUUCUAUGUCAAGUUGUUCAUGUCUUUUGAUAACAUAGCAGGUGAUACUUACUCAGAGUAUUAAUCAUGGCAUUUAACCUACUCUGAAAGAAAACCAAAAUACCCUUAGGGAGAGCUUCCAUUACCAGGAUAUCCAAUAUUCAUUUUGCCCUAAGUGCAACCUCCAAAGAUGCAGUCCUAUUUAAAUAAUCAAUUCUUCUCAAUCACCCCACCCAACAAUGACUGGAAAUUACCCCAAAGAAAAGAAGAAUGGAAUAAUCAACUUUGAAAGAAAGCCCUUUUUAUAUUAAAAUUGGAACUAUUUUUUCUCA
rnacentral:lncRNA from 1 species